CACGUAGGGCGCAAGCGUUGUCCGGAAUUAUUGGGCGUAAAGAGCUCGUAGGCGGUCUGUUGCGUCCGCUGUGAAAACUCGGGGCUUAACCCCGAGCCUGCAGUGGAUACGGGCAGACUAGAGGUAGGUAGGGGAGAAUGGAAUUCCCGGUGUAGCGGUGAAAUGCGCAGAUAUCAGGAGGAACACCGAUGGCGAAGGCAGCACUCUGGUACAUGACUGACGCUGAGACACGAAAGCGUGGGUAGCAAACAGG
rnacentral:rRNA from 1 species